UCCAGACUUUGAUCAUGGCUCAGGAUGAACGCUAGCGGCAGGCUUAACACAUGCAAGUCGAGGGGCAGCGCGGGGCGGCAACGUCCUGGCGGCGACCGGCGGAAGGGUGCGUAACGCGUGAGCGACAUGCCCGUUGCCCGGGGACAACCGGUGGAAACGCCGACUAAUCCCUGAUGGGACGGAGGCCCUCAUGGGUCUCUGUUGAAAGUUACGGCGGCGACGGAUUGGCUCGCGUCCGAUUAGCUUGUUGGCGGGGUAACGGCCCACCAAGGCUACGAUCGGUAGGGGUUCUGAGAGGAAGGUCCCCCACAAUGGAACUGAGACACGGUCCAUACUCCUACGGGAGGCAGCAGUGAGGAAUAUUGGUCAAUGGGCGGAAGCCUGAACCAGCCAUGCCGCGUGCGGGAAGGAGGCCCUAUGGGCUGUGAACCGCUUUUGCCUGGGGGCAAUAAGGGCGUCGCGCACGUCCGAUGAGAGUACCAGGGGAAUAAGCAUCGGCUAACUCCGUGCCAGCAGCCGCGGUAAUACGGGGGAUGCGAGCGUUAUCCGGAUUCAUUGGGUUUAAAGGGUGCGUAGGCUGUGCGUCAAGUCAGGGGUGAAAUUCCGGGGCUCAACUCCGGGGCUGCCCUUGAUACUGUCGCGCUGGAGUGCGGAUGCCGCCGGAGGAAUGAGUGGUGUAGCGGUGAAAUGCUUAGAUAUCACUCAGAACACCGAUUGCGAAGGCAUCUGGCGAAUCCGUAACUGACGCUGAGGCACGAAAGCGUGGGGAUAGAACAGGAUUAGAUACCCUGGUAUUCCACGCCGUAAACGAUGAUGGCUAACCGCCGGCGACAUACUGUCGGUGGCCAAGCGAAAGCGAUAAGCCAUCCACCUGGGGAGUACGUCGGCAACGAUGCAACUCAAA
rnacentral:rRNA from 1 species